UACGUAGGCAGCGAGCGUUGUUCGGAAUUACUGGGCGUAAAGAGUGUGUAGGCGGUGCUCCCAGUCUGUUGUGAAAUCUCCCGGCUUAACUGGGAGGGUGCAGCGGAAACUAGAGUGCUAGAGGGUGGGAGAGGUAAGCGGAAUUCCUGGUGUAGCGGUGAAAUGCGUAGAUAUCAGGAGGAACACCGGUGGUGUAGACGGCUUUCUGGACCGUAACUGACGCUGAGGCGCGAAAGCGUGGGGAGCAAACGGG
rnacentral:rRNA from 1 species